ensembl:lncRNA
AUGUUCAGAAGAAGAGCCUGAAGGUCCAGCAGUGGUUCAGAUGUUCAGAAGAAGAGCCUGAAGGUCCAGCAGUGGUUCAGAUGUUCAGAAGAAGAGCCUGAAGGUCCAGCAGUGGUUCAGAUGUUCAGAAGAAGAGCCUGAAGGUCCAGCAGUGGUUCAGUUGUUCAGAAGAAGAGCCUGAAGGUCCAGCAGUGGUUCAGAUGUUCAGAAGAAGAGCCUGAAGGUCCAGCAGUGGUUCAGAUGUUCAGAAGAAGAGCCUGAAGGUCCAGCAGUGGUUCAGAUGUUCAGAAGAGCCUGAAGGUCCAGCAGUGGUUCAGAUGUUCAGAAGAGCCUGAAGGUCCAGCAGUGGUUCAGAUGUUCAGAAGAGCCUGAAGGUCCAGCAGUGGUUCAGAUGUUCGCUCAGCUGGCUCUAAGUGGGUAAAAAUAUUCAAACAAAUCCUUCACUGAAUAUUUUCUUCACCAGUGGAACAGCAUGAAUGAAAACAUGUCAGAGCUGAUUGACUUCCUGUUGGGUCACAGAUCCAGUUAAUGUCUUGUUAGGACGAGUUUAUGUUUAAAUUUAAUUCUCUUAAACCCUUUAUAUGAAUAAACUAUAAAGUGUGAUGAAGAAGAAACCAAACUGUGUAAAACAGGCUCAGUGUUGGACUGAGAAGGUCGCUGAUGUAGAACGUUUCUCCUGAUAAAUGAACACCAGAGACUGAUGAGAGCAGCCAGAGCUGGUUUAUGAGCUUCCAGUAGUCGAAUCAUCUGAUGAAAUCACUGUUCAGGUGGUUUGUUUCUGCCAUAUUUAUGUUCAGUCUGACUGCAGCUACAAAAACAGAAGCUGUAGAAACUCUGCAGUCAUGAAAAAAGAAACUUUAAAAUUGUUGAUUUUAUCAUUUUAAAGGUUACCAUUUAUUAAAAACUGUUAAAAG